rnacentral:piRNA from 1 species
UCAUAGUCAAAUUCGAUUCGAGCAACAAC